rnacentral:rRNA from 1 species
GACACGCUGGCGGCGUGCUUAACACAUGCAAGUCGAACGGUGACGAGGAGCUUGCUCCUCUGAUCAGUGGCGAACGGGUGAGUAACACGUGAGCAACCUGCCCCAGACUCUGGGAUAACAGUUGGAAACAGCUGCUAAUACCGGAUACGAGACGGAGAGGCAUCUCUACCGUCUGGAAAGUUUUUCGGUCUGGGAUGGACUCGCGGCCUAUCAGCUAGUUGGUGAGGUAAUGGCUCACCAAGGCGACGACGGGUAGCCGGCCUGAGAGGGCGACCGGCCACACUGGGACUGAGACACGGCCCCAGACUCCUACGGGAGGCAGCAGUGGGGAAUAUUGCACAAUGGGCGAAAGCCUGAUGCAGCGACGCCGCGUGAGGGGAUGACGGGCCUUCGGGUUGUAAACCUCUUUCAGCAGGGAAGAAGCGCAAGUGACGGUACCUGCAGAAGAAGCACCGGCUAACUACGUG